rnacentral:lncRNA from 1 species
CUAUUUUUUUGUUCUUUUAAGAAUAUUUAUUAAUGCAUAAAGAAGAUAAAAAUGGUAUUAUUAUACCAUUCAGUUAGACAUAGUCACCAAAAUCUAGAGCUAGAAAACCUGUUUUGGAGUCCUGUUUCCUUAGAAGACCAAUUUGAUAAACUCAGAUAAAGGUUUCUUUUAACACAUGAAGUCUAGAACAUUUUGUCCCAAAUGAAUUUUGUCCACAUGAAGUCCAGAACAUUUGUCUGUUUGGGAAGUGGAUGGAGUGAGCUAAGAAGGUUGCUUUCAGUGACAAUAUUUGAGAGAAGAAUAAGAAGAGAAAAUUCAACUUCAGAGAAAUGAACUGCUGCUCUUAAAGCAAGUUCCACGUAAUGCAAAGAAAUUCACACAGUUCUUUUCUUCCUUAUCACUACAAAUAAUAUAAUGUAAACAUCAAUAGUAUCUGAGUUCU